GUCACACCAUGAGAGUUGGAAAUACCCGAAGCCUGUGAGCUAACUUAAAGAGGCAGCAGUCGAAGGUAGAGCCAAUGAUUGGGGUGAAGUCGUAACAAGGUAGC
rnacentral:rRNA from 1 species